rnacentral:lncRNA from 1 species
CGAAGAUUAGGGGAGAGUCCUAAAACCGAGACUGGUUGGGCAUUAAGUCUCAUAAGAUCCAGAGAAAUGAUUGAAUUAACAAAAUCAAAUUGAGCUCGGUGGAGGGAAUUAAAUAUAAGAUAGGUAUAUAUCUUUACUACAAAAUCAGAUUGCCCUCGGCGGAGGAGAUGGAUAUAAGAUGGGUAUAUAACAAACAAAACCGAUGAGGCUGGCACUUCCAACUCUGCCGAUCACAGCAAAAUCGCAGAGCUAGUGUUGCACAGGCUAAGAAACGAACGAGAUUGGUGGAGGGAAUUAAAUAUAAGAUAGGUAUAUAUCUUUACUACAAAAUCAGAUUGCCCUCAGCGGAGGAGAUGGAUAGAAGAUGGGUAUAUGACAAACAAAACCGAUGAGGUUGGCACUUCAAACUCUGCCGAUCACAGGAAAAUCGGAGAGCUAGUUUUGCACAGGCUAAGAAACGAACGAGACACAGUAAUGGAGAUUGCAAAGCCUGCGCGCACCGGUUGUUGCACUUUGUCCAGAACACUUACAUUUA